AUUGAACGCUGGCGGCAUGCCUUACACAUGCAAGUCGAACGGCAGCACGGACUUCGGUCUGGUGGCGAGUGGCGAACGGGUGAGUAAUACAUCGGAACGUGCCCUGUCGUGGGGGAUAACUAGUCGAAAGAUUAGCUAAUACCGCAUACGACCUGAGGGUGAAAGCGGGGGACCGCAAGGCCUCGCGCGAUAGGAGCGGCCGAUGUCUGAUUAGCUAGUUGGUGGGGUAAAGGCCCACCAAGGCGACGAUCAGUAGCUGGUCUGAGAGGACGAUCAGCCACACUGGGACUGAGACACGGCCCAGACUCCUACGGGAGGCAGCAGUGGGGAAUUUUGGACAAUGGGGGCAACCCUGUUCCAGCAAUGCCGCGUGUGUGAAGAAGGCCUUCGGGUUGUAAAGCACUUUUGUCCGGAAAGAAAUCCCCUGCCCUAAUACGGCGGGGGGAUGACGGUACCGGAAGAAUAAGCACCGGCUAACUACGUGCCAGCAGCCGCGGUAA
rnacentral:rRNA from 1 species